rnacentral:rRNA from 1 species
GACGAACGCUGGCGGCGUGCCUAAUACAUGCCAGUAGAACGCUGAAGGAGGAGCUUGCUUCUCUGGAUGAGUUGCGAACGGGUGAGUAACGCGUAGGUAACCUGCCUGGUAGCGGGGAAUAACUAUUGGAAACGAUAGCUAAUACCGCAUAAGAGUAGAUGUCGCAUGACAUUUGCGUAAAGGGUGCAAUUGCAUCACUACCAGAUGGACCUGCGUUGUAUUAGCUAGUUGGUGAGGUAACGGCUCACCAAGGCAACGAUACAUAGCCGACCUGAGAGGGUGAUCGGCCACACUGGGACUGAGACACGGCCCAGACUCCUACGGGAGGCAGCAGUAGGGAAUCUUCGGCAAUGGACGGAAGUCUGACCGAGCAACGCCGCGUGAGUGAAGAAGGUUUUCGGAUCGUAAAGCUCUGUUGUAAGAGAAGAACGAGUGUGAGAGUGGAAAGUUCACACUGUGACGGUAUCUUACCAGAAAGGGACGGCUAACUACGUG